GAUAAAAUAUGGAGUAAUAUUGUUUUAGUGUCAAACCAUGAAAGUUAAACUCAACAUAUUUAUCACUUUUCAUAAUUUAUUUCUUAGUUAUUAAAAAACACAUAUGUUCACAUUUCUGUCGUGGUGUGCAUGAGCACAUCCAUCAAAUCUUGACUUGAGAAGGAUAUUUUUUGUGCUUUCAUUUUUGGGUUAGAGGAUAAUUUUUUGGUGCCUCUCAGAAAAGUGACUAAUGGGUGAUUUCCAUGUGUAGGUAGUCCCACAAAUAGAAAAUGAAAGCAAAGGUGCAGCUUAUAAUAGUGACAGUGAUAAAGGAGCAGAAAAUUAGUACCUCUUAUACCACAAAAGAUCCACGUUUAACUUUGUAUUUAACUUAAUCCAAAAGUUAUCAAAAAAUCUUUAUUCAACUCUUAAAAAUAUUGAAAUUGUUAGGUUGGACUUCAUGAUCGAGAUUUGAAUCAUAUUCCCUCUAUUUUAUAUGUAUGAGUUAUCAAUAACUUAUUAUUUCUCUUAUCUAUUAAAGAAAAAAACUUCUUACAAAGUUUAUAGUUCUCAUAUAUAUUUUAUUUAGUCUCUCCCUUAGAUAUUUCUUGUCAUUUAAGUUUUUU
rnacentral:lncRNA from 1 species